CUCGGCUACGAACCGAGCGGUCGGAGGUUCGAAUCCUCCCGGAUGCACCA
rnacentral:tRNA from 1 species